rnacentral:rRNA from 1 species
GACGAACGCUGGCGGCGUGCUUAACACAUGCAAGUCGAACGGUGACGAGGAGCUUGCUCCUCCGAUCAGUGGCGAACGGGUGAGUAACACGUGAGCAACCUGCCCCAGACUCUGGGGUAACAGUUGGAAACAGCUGCUAAUACCGGAUACGAGACGGAGAGGCAUCUCUACCGUCUGGAAAGUUUUUCGGUCUGGGAUGGACUCGCGGCCUAUCAGCUAGUUGGUGAGGUAAUGGCUCACCAAGGCGACGACGGGUAGCCGGCCUGAGAGGGCGACCGGCCACACUGGGACUGAGACACGGCCCAGACUCCUACGGGAGGCAGCAGUGGGGAAUAUUGCACAAUGGGCGAAAGCCUGAUGCAGCGACGCCGCGUGAGGGAUGACGGCCUUCGGGUUGUAAACCUCUUUCAGCAGGGAAGAAGCGCAAGUGACGGUACCUGCAGAAGAAGCACCGGCUAACUACGUG